rnacentral:tRNA from 2 species
GGCCGUGUGCCCGAGUGGUCUAAGGGAACGGAUUGCAAAUCCGUUGUGGCGUAAGCCCAAUCGUGGGUUCGAAUCCCACUGCGGCCU